CCAAUAGCGUAUAUUAAAGUUGUUGCAGUUAAAAAGCUCGUAGUUGAACCUCGGGAUCAAUGGGUCGGUCAUGCCAAUGGUAUGUACUGGCCUCAUUGGUUCUCACCUUCUAAGGAACCAUGAUGUCAUUCAUUUGAUGUUGUGGGGAAUUAGGACUGUUACCUUGAAAAAAUUAGAGUGUUUAAAGCAGGCUAACGCUUGAAUACAUUAGCAUGGAAUAAUGAAAUAGGACAUCGCAUUCUAUUUUGUUGGUUUCUAGGAUCGAUGUAAUGAUUAAUAGGGAUAGUUGGUGGCAUUAGUAUUCAAUUGUCAGAGGUGAAAUUCUUGGAUUUAUUGAAGACUAACUACUGCGAAAGCAUUUGCCAAGGAUGUUUUCAGUAAUCAAGAACGAAAGUUAGGGGAUCGAAGACGAUCAGAUACCGUCGUAGUCUUAACCAUAAACUAUGCCGACUAGGGAUCGGAUGAUGUUGAUUUUUUAAUGACUCAUUCGGCACCUUACG
rnacentral:rRNA from 1 species